rnacentral:rRNA from 1 species
CCUACGGGAGGCUGCAGUGGGGAAUCUUCCGCAAUGGGCGCAAGCCUGACGGAGCAACGCCGCGUGAGUGAAGAAGGUCUUCGGAUCGUAAAGCUCUGUUGAUGGGGACGAACGUGCCUAAUGCGAAUAGUUUUAGGCAAUGACGGUACCCAUCGAGGAAGCCACGGCUAACUACGUGCCAGCAGCCGCGGUAAUACGUAGGUGGCAAGCGUUGUCCGGAAUCAUUGGGCGUAAAGGGAGCGCAGGCGGGCAUGUAAGUCUUUCUUAAAAGUGCGGGGCUCAACCCCGUGAUGGGAAAGAAACUAUAUGUCUUGAGUACAGGAGAGGAAAGCGGAAUUCCCAGUGUAGCGGUGAAAUGCGUAGAUAUUGGGAGGAACACCAGUGGCGAAGGCGGCUUUCUGGACUGCAACUGACGCUGAGGCUCGAAAGCCAGGGGAGCGAACGGGAUUAGAUACCCUUGUAGUC